rnacentral:lncRNA from 1 species
UCUUCUCUAACCAUCUGUUGUACCUCCUGUAAGUAAAAGACCUCUCAACUCCUCGUUAGAAUUUUAAUACCGUGAUCAAGUCAAGACAACAAACUAGGUUCUAGAAACAGAAAAGCUUCAGCUUGUAUGCUUGAUUCCAUUUAAGAGAUGAGAUAUCUCUUCCUCCAAUUCGCAUUACUUGGAUGGCCAUUGCUGAAGAAUCAGGAAUAAACUAUAGUUCUAGUAUGAAUAAGUAAAUUAUUACUUCCCCAUUUUAGGUUUUCGCUUUCAUACAAAACCUACAAAAGACCCUAAUAAGAAUCGAAGAGUUUUGUUAAACUAAUCUGACCUAGUCCCCUGGAAUUAGUGUCAAUUGUUCUCCAACAAAACCAAAAUAUUUUACAAAGCAACGCAAAGUUUUAGUAGGACAGAGCAAGGUGGAAUUUAAUCCAAAAAUUUAAAUAAAUAGAAUAAAUAUCCUAGUUCACGUUUUUCCUCUAGAGCAUCCAUGGGUGUUAUUUAUCUGGUGAGAUAUGAGCUAACUGAACUUUACAAUGCAUAAUUUACUUUAACCUAGUAAUUCAGGCAAUAUACAGCCUUAAAGUUGUGCCAAAACAGCCUUCCAAGGAUCUUCCUCCCACUAACCUUGUCAUAGAGUUCCCUGAAUUCACUUUUAAUAAAGUAGUGCUCGAUCAAAUUCCAUACCGAUAUGUCAUGAAAUCCAAAGGUUAGAAAUGAUGAUCAGUGAGAACACGUCAACCGUGCAGGAAGCUAAGCCAAGAUAGCAAGAAGAGUUUCAGCAAAGUUACAAUAAACUAGGUAACCCUGGAACCUGGAUGUGACUAGGUAUACCUGUCAAAUUUAAGUGCUCUAUGUAUAUGAUAAAUUGAAGAAAGCUUUCCAAACAGUACCUACAUCCAUUAGGAGUAUGUGUUUGUAUGAACAUUAAGCACGCAACGUGCAUGGACAAACAUGUGCCCCAAAGGAGCUGGUUAGAAAAUUAAUAACCUCAGGAACUUUUUAUGUUCCCAUGGAGGUUGCCAACUGACAAUUUAUUUUAGAUCAUUAUGGCGUAGAAAGCAGUGAGUGAUGAUGAAUCUC